rnacentral:rRNA from 1 species
UACGUAGGGUGCAAGCGUUGUCCGGAAUUAUUGGGCGUAAAGAGCUCGUAGGCGGUUUGUUGCGUCGGCUGUGAAAUCCCGAGGCUCAACCUCGGGUCUGCAGUCGAUACGAGCAAACUAGAGUGUUGCAGGGGAGACUGGGAAUUCCGGGUGUAGCUGGUGGAAUGCGUAGAGAUCCGGAAGAACACCAGUGGCGAAGGCGGCCCGCGUG